rnacentral:rRNA from 1 species
UACGGGGGGGGCGAGCGUUGUUCGGAAUUACUGGGCGUAAAGGGCUCGUAGGUGGCCAACUAAGUCAGACGUGAAAUCCCUCGGCUUAACCGGGGAACUGCAUCUGAUACUGGAUGGCUUGAGUUUGGGAGAGGGAUGCGGAAUUCCAGGUGUAGCGGUGAAAUGCGUAGAUAUCUGGAGGAACACCGGUGGCGAAGGCGGCAUCCUGGACCAACACUGACACUGAGGAGCGAAAGCCAGGGGAGCAAACGGG